rnacentral:rRNA from 1 species
GACGAACGCUGGCGGCGUGCUUAACACAUGCAAGUCGAACGGAAAGGCUCCAGCUUGCUGGAGUACUCGAGUGGCGAACGGGUGAGUAACACGUGGGUAAUCUGCCCUGCACUCUGGGAUAAGCCUGGGAAACUGGGUCUAAUACUGGAUAUGACCUUUCUCCUUAUGGGGUUUGGUGGAAAGUUUUUCGGUGUAGGAUGAGCCCGCGGCCUAUCAGCUUGUUGGUGGGGUGAUGGCAUACCAAGGCGACGACGGGUAGCCGGCCUGAGAGGGUGAUCGGCCACAUUGGGACUGAGAUACGGCCCAGACUCCUACGGGAGGCAGCAGUGGGGAAUAUUGCACAAUGGGCGGAAGCCUGAUGCAGCGACGCCGCGUGAGGGAUGACGGCCUUCGGGUUGUAAACCUCUUUCAGCAGGGACGAAGCGUAAGUGACGGUACCUGCAGAAGAAGCACCGGCUAACUAUGUG